rnacentral:rRNA from 1 species
UAAAGCAGCUAUAUCACCCCACAACUCACAACUGACAACCCACUGAAGCUACAGUAAGUGGGUGUGAGCCUGGUCAGUACCUGGAUGGGAGACCUCCUGGGAAAACUUUUGUUGCUUCUG